UCAUUUCCCUUACCUUUUGUCGUAAUAGGAUCACGUCAGCCGCKUACAGUGGGAAAAUCGAAAGAGGAAAGUGCACGAUUUACAAGUAUCAACUUUCUCGUUCAAAGAAAGGAAAAACUCUUAAUGAAAAUGUAAAACAACCUACAAAAACAWUUCCACUUCGUACUGUCGAUGAAAUGCACAAAGUUACUUGUGAAUGGUCUUCGAUUUGUUCCAUAAUAUUUCCCUUUGAAUUUUGACCAAGAUGUACCAGGGAACAGGAAGGGCCCACUGCUGAUCGUAGUAAACCUUCGAUKUAACUGCAAACUCUGUAGUAAAAGAAAGCCACAUUGUAAGCGACAUGACAAAGGCAUCAAUCACGAAAUUUUGCUUGGGGAACACAAGGGGAACAUUCGACAUAGAAGGGUCGUCGAUCGUUCAGCAAAAAUCCACCAGGUUAUAGCUAGGAAAGCAAGAAAAUGAAACUUAAUGCUACGUCACUUCUACGUCACCUUAUUUCUUUACGCAGCCAGUGUGUCGUUGUGUUUCUUCCUCGAGUUCGAACAAGACAUCGACGCGUCACCUUGCGUCACAAGCGUUGUACGACGAAGCUUUGGGGAGGCCGCCGCCCUGCACAUAAUAAAUCUUUUCUGCUUACCUCACCAUUACGUCAACGACCUGUCAAUCAAUACCAUAAAUGGAAAUAUGACUCCAUACAUCGAUCGUGAUUGGCUUGACUCUUCUAACAGAUGUUAGCGAUAUGCGUCAGAUGCUUCCCGGUUUUGCGGGUAAAUUUACAGAAUAUUUUGUAAGUUAUAUUUUUCUGAAAUUUUAUUUAUGUAAUUCAUGUAAAAAUCAUUAAAACAUACAGCUUAGUAAUCC